rnacentral:rRNA from 1 species
UGGGGAAUAUUGCACAAUGGGGGAAACCCUGAUGCAGCGACGCCGCGUGAGCGAAGAAGGCUUUCGAGUCGUAAAGCUCUGUCCUAUGAGAAGAUAAUGACGGUAUCAUAGGAGGAAGCCCUGGCUAAAUACGUGCCAGCAGCCGCGGUAAUACGUAUGGGGCGAGCGUUGUCCGGAAUUAUUGGGCGUAAAGGGUACGUAGGUGGUUUUUUAAGUCAGGUGUCAAAGCGUGGAGCUUAACUCCAUUAAGCACUUGAAACUGAAAGACUUGAGUGAAGGAGAGGAAAGUGGAAUUCCUAGUGUAGCGAUGAAAUGCGUAGAUAUUAGGAGGAAUACCGGUGGCGAAGGAGACUUUCUGGACUUUUACUGACGCUCAGGUACGAAAGCGUGGGGAGCAAACAGG